rnacentral:rRNA from 1 species
CAGUCGCCACGGGAAUACGAAGGGGGCUAGCGUUGUUCGGAUUUACUGGGCGUAAAGGGCGCGUAGGCGGACUGAUAAGUCAGGGGUGAAAUCCCAAGGCUCAACCUUGGAACUGCCUUUGAUACUGUUUGUCUUGAGUUCGAGAGAGGUAAGUGGAACUGCGAGUGUAGAGGUGAAAUUCGUAGAUAUUCGCAAGAACACCAGUGGCGAAGGCGGCUUACUGGCUCGAAACUGACGCUGAGGCGCGAAAGCGUGGGGAGCAAACAGGAUUAGAUACCCCCGUAGUCCCUGUCUCUUAUAC